rnacentral:misc_RNA from 1 species
AUUGCUCAAUGCAAUGGAGCAUCUAAUCUACAAGUAGUUUCGUGGAUAGAGGUUCUAAUUCAAGAACCAGCUUGGAAACCUUGAACCUCAUGGAAGAGCCGCAAGGCACCUUAUGAUGAGAGAUUACCUAGAUUCCAACAGCAUUAUUAACUUCCUGAAAGAAAUUGCUUGUGUUUUCUUUGCUUAUCAUCAUUCUUGAUCGAGGAACAGAUGCUGCAACAGAAUGUGUUGGCUCAACAUAAGAAAACUCGAGAGAAAUUCAAUGGUAUUCAAUGGAGUCUUUAUGCUUAAGGGUUGUAAUGAGACUUGAGUUAAACCAAAUUGAUUUCGG